UUAGUUGAAAAAGAAGCAAAUGAAUGCACCACAAAUUCCAAAAGAAUAUCUCAAAGAACAGAAUCAAUGACCACAGAUAUCUUACUCUGCAAUCAUGUAGUCUCUGUUCACCACAUAACCCCUCAAAUUCAAAUAUCCAAACAAGCCAAGCCAAUCUCCACCAUAGCCAAUAUCAUCAUCUAGGACCAGACCUGCCUGGUGAGUCUUAAGCUUCAUUUUUGUAUCUCUCUAAACUUGUUUCGUUUUAACUCUCUCACUAUCAAUUCAACAAGAAACUAUCAUGCAAAACUGAACCCAUUUUUUUUUUAAUCUCUUGAGAUUGUCACUCUUAUGCUUAGUCUUUUGUCUCUUAUAGCUUUCUUCCAUGGCUGUGUUAAUACUUAGCUCUUCAAGUAUGUGUUGUAGUUGUAUCCAUUAUAGUAUUGUUUUUAGUGAGCAGAAUAGGUUGUCUGAUUUCAGACAUAAAAAUGGGUCAUUAGGAGGUGAAAAGUUUGGAACUUUGAGGGUUUUCCCGUUCGGGUCUAACGUAAAUUGGAAGAAAAAUAACAAAAAACAAGUGGCUUUUUGUGGAAUUGCAUUGAAAAGCCAGAAUGAGGACCUGGUGGUGAAUGGGAAGCCAAGAAAGGGGUCAUCUUCUGAUGAAGUUUUGGGAGUUCUUCACUCAAUUUCAGACCCUAUUCAUGCUCUUUUUUACUUUAAAUCAGUUGGUGAGUUGCCAAAUGUUGUUCACACCACUGAAACCUGUAAUCAUAUGCUUGAAAUAUUGAGGGUUCAUAGGAGGGUGGAGGAUAUGGCUUUUGUGUUUGACUUGAUGCAAAGGCAAAUAAUUAGGAGGAAUGUGGAUACUUAUUUGAUUAUAUUUAAGAGUCUUUUUAUCAGGGGUGGCCUGAGGCAAGCACCGUCUGCCCUUGAAAAGAUGAGGGAGGCAGGGUUUGUUUUGAAUGCUUAUUCAUAUAAUGGGUUGAUCCACUUUCUACUUCAGUCUGGAUUUUGUAAGGAGGCGUUGGAAGUGUAUAGAAGAAUGGUCUCGGAAGGUCUUAAGCCUAGUCUUAAGACGUUCUCUGCACUUAUGGUAGCAUCAGGGAAGAGAAGGAAUAUUAAAACUGUUAUGGGUUUGCUGGAAGAGAUGGAGAGUAUGGGGUUGAGGCCUAAUAUUUACACAUACACCAUUUGCAUUAGAAUACUGGGGAGAGAUGGGAAAAUUGACGAAGCAUAUAGGAUUAUGAAGAGAAUGGAUGAUGAUGGAUGCGGUCCUGAUGUUGUCACUUACACAGUUCUCAUUGAUGCUCUUUGUACUGCCAGAAAGCUUGACGACGCUAUGUGCUUGUUCACGAAAAUGAAAUCUAGCAGUCACAAACCUGAUAAGGUAACCUAUGUAACCUUGUUGGACAAGUUCAGUGAUUGUGGACACUUGGACAAAGUGGAAAAAAUUUGGACUGAAAUGGAAGCUGAUGGUUAUGCUCCUGAUGUGGUUACAUUUACCAUACUUGUUAAUGCCUUAUGCAAAGCUGGUAGAAUUAAUGAAGCCUUUGAUCUGUUGGAUACCAUGAGAAAGCAAGGGGUCUUACCAAAUCUCCAUACUUACAACACAUUGAUUUGUGGACUUUUGAGGGCAAACAGGUUAGAUGAUGCGUUGGAUCUUUUCAGUAAUAUGGAAUCUCUGGGUGUUGAACCCACUGCUUAUACAUAUAUCCUUUUAAUUGACUACCAUGGAAAGUCUGGUCACCCUGGAAAAGCUCUCGAGACCUUUGAGAAGAUGAAAGCUAGAGGAAUUGCUCCUAACAUUGUUGCUUGCAAUGCAUCUUUGUAUAGUCUUGCUGAAAUGGGAAGGCUUGGUGAAGCAAAAGCUAUGUUUAACGAGCUUAAAAGUAGUGGGCUUGCUCCAGAUUCAGUGACCUAUAACAUGAUGAUGAAAUGCUAUAGUAAGGUAGGGCAAGUGGAUGAAGCCAUCAAGUUACUAUCUGAGAUGUCAAAAGUUCAGUGUGAACCCGAUGUAAUCGUCAUUAAUUCUUUGAUUGACACACUUUACAAGGCUGGCCGAGUGGAAGAGGCAUGGCAAAUGUUUUGCCGAAUGGAGGAGAUGAACCUUGCUCCUACAGUUGUGACCUACAACAUAUUACUAGCUGGAUUAGGGAAAGAGGGUCAAAUCCAAAAAGCUGUUCAGCUAUUUGAGAGUAUGAAGGGGCAUGGGUGUUCACCAAACACAAUUACUUUCAAUACACUCUUGGAUUGCCUUUGCAAGAAUGAUGAGGUUGAUUUGGCCCUGAAAAUGUUCUACAAAAUGACAACAAUGAAUUGCAGACCUGAUGUUCUAACUUUCAACACAAUCAUUCAUGGUUUUAUUAAACAAAACCAAAUUAAAAAUGCAAUCUGGCUCUUCCAUCAGAUGAAGAAAUUGCUCAGACCUGAUCAUGUGACUUUGUGCACGCUCCUUCCUGGUGUUAUAAAGAGCGGGCAGAUAGAGGAUGCUUUCAGGAUCACUGAGGACUUUUUUUAUCAGGUUGGAUCUAACAUAGACAGGCCAUUUUGGGAAGAUGUUAUGGGAGGCAUUUUGACUGAGGCUGGAACAGAAAAGGCCAUUUUAUUUGGUGAAAGAUUGGUAUGCCGUGCAAUUUGCAAGGAUGACUCUGUAUUAUUACCUAUAAUUAAGGUUUUGUGUAAGCAUAAGAAAACCUCUGUUGCUCAAAAUGUAUUUGUGAAGUUCACAAAGGAACUGGGAGUGAAACCAACACUCAAAGUAUACAACCUGUUGAUUGAUGGGUUUCUAGAAGUUCAUAAUGUUGAAGCGGCCUGGAAUCUUUUUGAGGAGAUGAAGAGUGCUGGCUGUGCUCCAGAUACAUUCACCUACAAUUCUUUAAUUGAUGCUCAUGGGAAGUCUGGGAAGAUCAAUGAACUUUUUGAUCUGUAUGAUGAAAUGCUAGCUAGGGGAUGCAAGCCCAACACCAUAACUUACAACAUGGUCAUCUCCAAUCUAGUGAAAUCUAAUAGAUUGGACAAGGCUAUGGAUUUGUAUUACAAUCUUGUCAGUGGUGAUUUCUCUCCCACUCCCUGUACCUUUGGCCCCCUUAUAGAUGGACUUCUGAAGGCAGGGAGACUUGAUGAUGCACAUGAAAUGUUUGACGGGAUGGUACACUAUGGAUGCAGGCCUAACAGUGCUAUUUACAAUAUUCUUGUAAAUGGUUUUGGGAAAUUGGGUUACGUGGAUACUGCUUGCGAGUUCUUUAAAAGGAUGGUCAAAGAAGGAAUAAGACCAGACUUGAAGUCUUACACCAUUCUUGUUGAUAUCCUAUGCAUAGCAGGGAGAGUGGACGAUGCUUUGCACUACUUUGAGAAAUUAAAGCAGGCAGGCCUAGAUCCAGACUUGGUAGCUUAUAACCUCAUGAUUAAUGGGCUUGGACGAUCACAAAGGACAGAAGAAGCUCUAUCUCUUUUUCAUGAAAUGCAGAAUAGAGGGAUCGUUCCUGAUCUUUACACUUACAAUUCCUUGAUACUCAAUCUUGGGAUUGUUGGAAUGAUAGAGGAAGCAGGGAAGAUAUAUGAAGAACUGCAAUUUAUAGGUCUUAAACCUAAUGUGUUCACCUAUAAUGCUCUUAUUCGUGGAUACACCCUCUCUGGAAAUUCUGAACUUGCCUAUGGCAUCUACAAGAAGAUGAUGGUUGGUGGUUGCGACCCCAAUACUGGAACUUUUGCUCAGCUUCCUAAUCAAUCCUGACCCUUCAAAGAUGCUCAACUGGUCAUGUAUUCUCUUGGCUGUUUAUCUUUCCACUCAAGUUUUACUGGGGAACUUUAGCCUGACUUGAUGGUUUUGCUGAUGGUGAUAAGCGCUUAAAUUUAUCUCAAGAUUUUGUGCAUGCUGAGUAGCAUAUGUGCAAGGCUGGGCAUUCCAAAUUUACCUUAGCCAUCCUUCAUUGCAGAUUCAGUGAAGUUUUCUUUUUGCAGAGAGAUCAAGAGUACACGAUUAUAUAUUCAGGUUGCAACCCAGGUGCGUUCAAGGCCAUCUAAUCUGUUGUCCAUGAAAACUGUGAAUAUUUAACCCCUACAACGAUGCAUUAUGUAAAAUCUUGAAAUACAUAGUACACUGAUUUUAUUUGGUAAAUGGCAUGGUAUGCUUGUAUCAACGAGCUGUUUGUAGUUGUACCCGCCAUUCAGCAUACAAGAAAUUUUUGUAAGCUUUUCUGUAUCUUGACAUGCCUCAUUUCGAAUGAAAAAUAUGCAUAAAUAGGCAAUGUACUUAAUGAUAUUUUUUUUCUGGAUCAACUACUCGACAAUACAAACUAGAAAGACUCUUU